GUUUACAGAGAGACAGAAAGAGAGAGGGAAGAGAGAGGGGGGUGGUGGAGAGUUACUGAUGGGGACUGAAAUGUGCAUAUUGAAUUAAUGAGACUCUGGACGGCUACAUUUAUAGCUGUGUUACCCAAUACUUGCAACUAUGUUUCUUCUUAUCCUUCACAAUUGCUAAAAAAGUUGCCAAGGUCACUCAUUUUCACUUUUUCUCCCUGAGUUUACCCUUAUCUUUUUAAGGCUGGCUUGGAAGUAGAUAAGGUACACCUCAUACCCAACAAUGACAAACAGGAGACAUAAAAAGGAUGAGGGGGGCUGAAUCUCAUCUUUGGUCCAUGAAGCAGAUACUACAUUCUGGGUGAAACCUUUGUCAGCUGAAGCAAAAUGCCUGAGCAUUUGCUUUAAAUUUUUUACAUUCAGUUUUCAAAAUUAACGUCCAUUUUGGAGAGACUAGAUGAAGUUGUUAAUGUGUUCUCCAGCAGUGAAGGAAGGCUCCAGAACCGCCCCAGGGCUGCUUUCCUCGCUCAGGGCACCUACUUUGCAAGAGUGGACACUACUCCUCCUAGCCACUGGACUCCAGAAGUCUUGGCAACUCGUUGUAGCCUCCUGUCUAGCACUUAGGAGAUGCACAGUUGUUAACUGAAUGAUGACCCUUGCUGUGUCAGCCUUUCUCUGCAUGAUCAGUUUGCUGUGAUCUAUGGAAAACUCCCACCUCAGGAAUUUGAAGCCUGUGGUAUGACUGAUGGUGGAAUUUCAAGAAUCAAGGGAAGCAAGUGAAGAAGAAACUUCAAAGCAGCAGAAGUUUCUUAACACCCUUCGAUGUUUAGGAUACAAGUGACCACUUAUUCAGGAGGCAU